rnacentral:rRNA from 1 species
UGGGCCAUUUUGACUUACGCUCUAUACCCUUUGUGACAUACCUAUAACUGUUGCUUCGGCGGGUAGGGUCUCCGCGACCCUCCCGGCCUCCCGCCUCCGGGCGGGUCGGCGCCCGCCGGAGGAUAACCAAACUCUGAUUUAACGACGUUUCUUCUGAGUGGUACAAGCAAAUAAUCAAAACUUUUAACAACGGAUCUCUUGGUUCUGGCAUCGAUGAAGAACGCAGCGAAAUGCGAUAAGUAAUGUGAAUUGCAGAAUUCAGUGAAUCAUCGAAUCUUUGAACGCACAUUGCGCCCGCCAGCAUUCUGGCGGGCAUGCCUGUUCGAGCGUCAUUUCAACCCUCAAGCUCUGCUUGGUGUUGGGGCCCUACAGCUGAUGUAGGCCCUCAAAGGUAGUGGCGGACCCUCCCGGAGCCUCCUUUGCGUAGUAACUUUACGUCUCGCACUGGGAUCCGGAGGGACUCUUGCCGUAAAACCCCCCAAUUUUCCAAAGGUUGACCUCGGAUCAGGUAGGAAUACCCGCUGAACUUAAGCAUAUCAU